rnacentral:rRNA from 1 species
UUCAGCGGCGGACGGGUGAGUAAUGCCUAGGAAUCUGCCCGAUAGUGGGGGACAACGUUUCGAAAGGAGCGCUAAUACCGCAUACGUCCUACGGGAGAAAGUGGGGGAUCUUCGGACCUCACGCUAUCGGAUGAGCCUAGGUCGGAUUAGCUAGUUGGUGAGGUAAUGGCUCACCAAGGCGACGAUCCGUAACUGGUCUGAGAGGAUGAUCAGUCACACUGGAACUGAGACACGGUCCAGACUCCUACGGGAGGCAGCAGUGGGGAAUAUUGGACAAUGGGCGAAAGCCUGAUCCAGCCAUGCCGCGUGUGUGAAGAAGGUCUUCGGAUUGUAAAGCACUUUAAGUUGGGAGGAAGGGCUGUCGGCUAAUACCCUGCAGUUUUGACGUUACCAACAGAAUAAGCACCGGCUAACUUCGUGCCAGCAGCCGCGGUAAUACGAAGGGUGCAAGCGUUAAUCGGAAUUACUGGGCGUAAAGCGCGCGUAGGUGGUUCAGCAAGUUGGAUGUGAAAGCCCCGGGCUCAACCUGGGAACUGCAUCCAAAACUACUGAGCUAGAGUACGGUAGAGGGUGGUGGAAUUUCCUGUGUAGCGGUGAAAUGCGUAGAUAUAGGAAGGAACACCAGUGGCGAAGGCGACCACCUGGGCUAAUACUGACACUGAGGUGCGAAAGCGUGGGGAGCAAACAGGAUUAGAUACCCUGGUAGUCCACGCCGUAAACGAUGUCGACUAGCCGUUGGGAUCCUUGAGAUCUUAGUGGCGCAGCUAACGCAUUAAGUCGACCGCCUGGGGAGUACGGCCGCAAGGUUAAAACUCAAAUGAAUUGACGGGGGCCCGCACAAGCGGUGGAGCAUGUGG